rnacentral:antisense_RNA from 1 species
AGAAGGGCUUCCACACGGCGACGUUUGGGGGGGGCCUUUUUCUUUUGC